UUACGGCCAUAUCAUGUUGAAAUAUCAGUUCCUGUAAGAUCAUCGACGUUAAGCAACGUCGAACCUGGUCAGUAUCUAGACGGGUGACCGCUUGGGGAUACCAGGUGUUGUAAG